rnacentral:rRNA from 1 species
AAGCAUAUAAAUAAGCGGAGGAAAAGAAACUAACCAGGAUUCCCUCAGUAAGGGCGACUGAAGCGGGAAUAGCUCAGGAUGUGAAUCUGCACCUUUGGGUGCCGAAUUGUGGUCUGUAGACCGUGACGUUAUCCGCCGGGCCAAGUCCCUUGGAAAAGGGCAGCAGAGAGGGUGAGACUCCCGUCCGCCUGGUGGAGCGAGUUGCGUGUCGACGAGUCGAGUUGUUUGGGAUUGCAGCUCAAAUUGGGUGGUAAAUUCCAUCUAAGGCUAAAUAUUGGUGGGAGACCGAUAGCGUACAAGUACCGUGAGGGAAAGAUGCAAAGAACUUUGAAAAGAGAGUUAAAAAGUACCUGAAAUUGCUGAAAGGGAAGCGAAGGAAACCAGUGUCGUGCUUGGCCAUACUUCCCUGUCCACCUGUGGACUGGGCGCUGUGACCGGCUUGGGUUUGCCUUGGUUGUGCCGUUUGGAAGAGCGCCUACAGAGUUGAUGUGGGUUGCUAGCGUUCGGCCUGACUGAGGCAGACGAAAUGGUUUUCUUUACCCCGUCUUG